UACGUAGGGUGCGAGCGUUGUCCGGAAUUAUUGGGCGUAAAGAGCUUGUAGGCGGUUUGUCGCGUCUGCUGUGAAAAUCCGGGGCUCCAACCCCGGACUGCAGGUGGGUACGGGCAGACUAGAGUGUGGUAGGGGAGACUGGAAUUCCUGGUGUAGCGGUGAAAUGCGCAGAUAUCAGGAGGAACACCGAUGGCGAAGGCAGGUCUCUGGGCCGUAACUGACGCUGAGGAGCGAAAGCAUGGGGAGCG
rnacentral:rRNA from 1 species